AUUUUGAGCUUAUGUUGCAUCUUAGAACUUUUUAAAGUUCAAGUUGUUAAGUACUUUGAUAUUCCCACUUAUGUUCCUCUGCCAGGGCUGCUGAGAUAAGUAAGAAGUUAAAGCUGAUGGAGUCGGAGUUGAACCAGAAGAAGCCUGUAAGUCCAGGCAUUCAACACUGAGCCAAUUCUCCCUCCCUAUACAGCUCAUCCAGAUCAUGUUGAAUGAGCAUUAAAGACUAGAUAUUCUGGGGCUAUGACAAAAAUCGAGGGGGAAGUAAAACGUGUUUGUGAAGAGCACGCAGUACCUGGCCAAUUGCAUAGAUUGCCUGGAUCACUCCAGCAUUGCAGAAUAUUUGUAUGGUAUGCUGCUCUUGCACAACAACUUCUGCUGCUCAUAGCAACUGGUGUGGGGAGGUAUCUGCAAGUACUGAGUGUUUGAGAAUUAACCUGUGAUCUUUCUAUGUAUCCCCUCAGAAUAUGAUAC